AGCCAUGCAGUAAGCACAAAGCGAACUAUUCUUUCGCCUUUUACUAAAGAAUACCGUGUGCUUGCUGCUUAUAGUGGCAUACAGUAAUUUUUGGAAGGGCCAAGUUCUUCUUAGAGUUG
rnacentral:snRNA from 1 species